CUUGUUGCUGCUACCACGGUACGUGAAGCACUGUGUGCAGGACCUGCUUAAGAAGCGGUAGUAUGCAGUGUGGAGUAAGAAGACCGCGGGCAACAGCAGAUGAGUGUUCCCGGGUUGUCAGACUGUAUUUAUGCGGCUUGCCAGCGAGAGAACUCUCUCUUACAUAUAAUAUUAGUAUGUGUACUGUGUACAGGUGGAUAAAAAAAUAUAAGAUGGAACACAGAUUUGAGGGAAAAUUAAAUAGAAAGUUAUUUCGUGAUUUAUAUGCAUGGAACUCUUCAGUUAUCUUAACUAGACAAAUUAGGCAGCUAAUUAACAUUGCGGAACUUUCUCGUUAUUCAGGACAGUUGUCACAGCUGCCACAUCAUUACCAGCAUCAACAGUGUGGCAACAAGCAGUCUGGCCAAUAAUAUUAAAUUUCAUGGCACAAUAGUUUAAUAAUAUAAGCAGUGACGUGCUGUAAAAAAAUAAAAUAUUAGGGUAAUCAAAUGACACUAUUAAAUCUUCUGAUAAAGGUGAACCAUAAAUAUUAACAAUAACUUUAAGAGACAAAAUUGGAAAUGCUAAAGAAAUAUUAUUCAACUUACUAUUUUAAAUAUAGCUCAAGAUAAUUUUCUUAAGUUUCUAACAAUUUUUUCGGUAAUUUUGCUGUGAAAUUCUUGCUUAGUCUAAAGAUUAUGCAGUAAUUCUUUUCCAACUGACAGAAGAAUUACAACCUUCUGCGGCUUUCGUAGCAGCGACCUAAAGGAGUUAGUAGUAGUAGGGAACAGUAAUACCCUCAUGUAGUUGUAGGUAGUAGUAAUACCCCUCUGUAGUAGGGAGAAUACCACUCAGUAGUAAGGAGUAAUAUCCCUCAGUAGAGAGGGAGGAAGAACCGUAAGUUCUACUGUCUCUGUCCAGAUCUGUAAGGAAAGAAUCCCUUCAUAUUAAUGAAAAUAAAUAUUAUUGAACGUUAAACUUCAGCAUCAUAACACUAAUCACAGCACAUCGGACUGACCUGACUUCUGUUUACAAGGAUUAUGAAAAAAAUGAGUUAAAGAAAGUCUGAGAAUAAAUGGUAUAAAAUACCGACACAAUGGAAACAUAAACACAUAUGCAGCAUUCUCCACCUGACCUCAACAUUCUGAACCCGACUAUAAAUACUCCCGUACCUUCCACCCCAGGUAGAUCUGUGUGUGACUUGAAAAAGUCCACUGUGUGGGCGAAACGUUGUCAAUAAAGGAUCACAUUAAACUG